AGAGUUUGAUCCUGGCUCAGAAUGAACGCUGGCGGCGUGCUUAACACAUGCAAGUCGAACGAGAAAGGGAUUGCUUGCAAUCCUGAGUAGAGUGGCGCACGGGUGAGUAACACGUAGAUAAUCUACCUCCAAGCCUGGAAUAACUAUUCGAAAGGGUAGCUAAUACCGGAUGAAGUUGUCAGGCCUAAGUCUGACAAUGAAAGAUUGCCUCUCCCUGGAAGCAAUUGUUUGGAGAUGAGUCUGCGGACCAUUAGUUUGUUGGUGGGGUAAAGGCCUACCAAGACUACGAUGGUUAGCUGGUCUGAGAGGAUGAUCAGCCACACUGGAACUGGAACACGGUCCAGACUCCUACGGGAGGCAGCAGUGAGGAAUUUUGCGCAAUGGGGGAAACCCUGACGCAGCAACGCCGCGUGAGUGAAGAAGGCCCUUGGGUCGUAAAGCUCUGUCGACAGGGAAGAAAUUGGUUCAUAUUAAUAGUAUGUACCAUUGACGGUACCUGUAGAGGAAGCACCGGCUAACUCCGUGCCAGCAGCCGCGGUAAUACGGGGGGUGCAAGCGUUAUUCGGAAUUAUUGGGCGUAAAGGGCGCGUAGGCGGUCUUGUCGGUCAGAUGUGAAAGCCCGGGGCUCAACCCUGGAAGUGCAUUUGAAACAGCAAGACUUGAGUACGGGAGAGGAGAGCGGAAUUCCUGGUGUAGAGGUGAAAUUCGUAGAUAUCAGGAGGAACACCGAUGGCGAAGGCAGCUCUCUGGACCGAUACUGACGCUGAGGCGCGAAGGUGUGGGUAGCGAACGGGAUUAGAUACCCCGGUAGUCCACACAGUAAACGUUGUUCACUCGGUGUAUCGGAUAUUAAAAUCUGAUGUGCCCAAGCUAACGUGGUAAGUGAACCGCCUGGGGAGUACGGUCGCAAGACUAAAACUCAAAGGAAUUGACGGGGGCCCGCACAAGCGGUGGAGCAUGUGGUUUAAUUCGACAACGCGAAGAACCUUACCUGGAUUUGACAUCCUGUGAAUCCCUUGGAAACUUGGGAGUGCCUUCGGGAACACAGUGACAGGUGCUGCAUGGCUGUCGUCAGCUCGUGUCUGAGAUGUUUGGUUAAGUCCAGCAACGAGCGCAACCCUUAUCGUUAGUUGCCAGCACGUAAUGGUGGGAACUCUAACGAGACUGCCCGGGUUAACCGGGAGGAAGGCGGGGAUGACGUCAAGUCCUCAUGGCCCUUAUAUCCAGGGCUACACACGUGCUACAAUGGUAAGUACAGAGGGCAGCAAG
rnacentral:rRNA from 1 species